rnacentral:rRNA from 1 species
UACGUAGGGAGCGAGCGUUGUCCGGAAUCAUUGGGCGUAAAGAGCAUGUAGGUGGAUCAAUUAGUCUGCUGUGAAAACUCGAGGCUCAACCUCGAGACGUCGGCGGAAACCAUCUGGCUAGAGUCCGGAAGAGGAGAGUGGAAUUCCUGGUGUAGCGGUGAAAUGCGCAGAUAUCAGGAAGAACACCCGUGGCGAAGGCGGCUCUCUGGGACGGUACUGACGCUGAGACGCGAAAGCGUGGGGAGCGAACAGG